CCCGGUGGUGGCGGCGGCUGCCCCUGUCGCCGCUCCCCGCCCCCGAUCGCCACUCUCCGCUAAUCCACACCUUGACCUCUUCCCUCUCCCCCACCCGACCCCGGGGCUCCCGCCACCGGGCCGCGGGCGUGGCCAGGGACAUCCGCCCUGAAGUUCAUGGCGACGCUUGGCGGGUUCGGAUCCCCGCUGCCCAGGACACCGGCGUGGCGUGGCGGUUGAGCUGGCUGACUCUGGGGUUCCCUUUUCAGCGUGUCUUUCCCUGACUUUUGGGGUUGGUUUUGGGUUUUGGGGGGGGUUGUUGGUUUUUUUGUUUGUUUGUUUUGUUUUUUAGUGACUUUCUCUCCGUGCCUUUUCAGAGACUUCUCUUGGAAGACGUGGAAGAAGAGAUCGUUCCCGGUACAAGUUUUCCAAAGCCAUAGCUACUCUUUAGUAUUAACUUUGUUCGGUUUAUUAUUUAUUUUUUAGGUUUUUGUUUUCUAAGUAGGAGGAUGACCUUUCAAAAGUCAUGGAGAAAUGAGGCUUAUAUCGCCCGAUUCACUGCAGCUGAAGAAAGACAAGCUCGCCAUUCUCCUGCUCUCCCAGCACCUAUCCAAACAUAAUUAAUAGAGAUUUAUUUUGAAAUGUGUUAUUGCCCCCUUUCGGGGUAAGCUCCAUGGACAGAGGGACUUGGGGGUCUAUCGUUUUCAACACUAGAAGCACAGUACACAUUUGUUGAAUGAGGUAGUGAGCCACACGCUAUAAUAGGAUGAGGCUAAAAUUGGGGGCGCAGGAAAAGAUGCCUGGCAAAGUCGAUAAACUUUCCCCCAAAGAAACACACUUUUGGUAAAGAGUGCUUCCCUUUUCUUAAAUCCUGACAUAACUAAUUUUUUUUUUUUUUUUGAGUACUUAAGCCCUAGAAGCUAGUGAGCAAUCCUAGGUCUAUGUAUGAAACAUUACAAUAGUUUUUUUAAAAUCUGAAUUUGUUUACCCUAUAACAUAAAAACAUCUAUACAUUCAAUACCCAGCAUCCCACAUCAGGAAAAAAAAGAAAAACCAUUAACCUCAAUUCUUGAUUUCUAGGAAAUCUUGCCUUGUCUUCAAAACAAAGCUUUCCUAUGAAAGACCACUUCCCUUUUUUCUUUAUCACUGAGACUUUAAACGUCACAAAUGGCCCUGAGUUUAUGACUGUUAAGCACUUACAAGAGUUAUCUGACACUAUCUUAUAGUACUUACAAUGACCCAAGUUUAUUACCUUAAGUUUUGGAGUGGGAAAUGAAAUGAUCACAUACUCACUGGGCCUCAGUAGAGCAAAGUAGUUCACCUGGGGGCUUUGGUGUUGCAUAAAACUGGAUGUUUUAUUUUCUGUUUUCAUCUUAGUUCAACAUUCAUUCAUUCUCCACUCUGUUGGCUCAGGUCUGAAUUCCAGGUUGUCUGUGAUGGCUAACAAUGUGUCAACCUGACUGGAUCUGAACAUCACCUAGGAGACACGCAUCUAGACAUGCCUGUAAGGGGUUAUCUAGGUUUGGUUAAUUGAUGUGAGAAGACCCACCUUAACUCAAAGUGGGCCGUUCAAUGGCCUUGGAUACUAGACGGGAUGACAGGGAGAAAGGGAACCGAGCACAAAACGUCCGUAACUUUCGGCUUUCUGACCAUGGUUGCAACAUGAUCAGCUACUUCAGGCUUUAUUCCUUGUCUGCCAUGACCUUUGGCCACAAACUCUAAGGCAAAAUAAACUCUUAAGUCCCUAUGGCCAGACAUUUUGUUUGAGGACCAUGUAAAGUAACUAAUACAGUGUCUAUUGAUCCUACCUCAACUGUACCGAGCUUUUAAAUAUACUCUUGCAAGGACUGCUGGACAACUUAUAUUUCCAUCUCUAACUCUGGACAACCAUUAUCAGUUUCUGGCCUCUGUGGAUAUGACUCUUCUGAAUAUUCCAUGUUCCCUGAGUUUUCAAGCCCCUUCUUGAAACAGCAUCAUUCCUGGAGGAGGGCAUACAUCCCUCUGUUAGCUGAAUCCAGGAGAGCUAGAUCCACCCCAUUAAUUCAAGAACCAAAACAGCCAAAGAAUCGAGUUUCUCCUGAAAGGGGAGCAAGCUGAUCUGAGACCCGGUGAGAGAGAUUAAUUGAAGACAACAACAUCGGCAACGUCUCCGUCUACUAUUCCCGAGUCCCGAAAGUGUGCCCAGAGUGGCAAGAAGAGGGAUGAGCUGGAAGGCACAUUGGCUGGGCAAAAGUCGUUGGUGCCAAGGAAAAACUAGCAAGAUGUUGAGAGGAACAAGUAUCACGAGGCUCUGCUGGCAGCUGAGAGGUACAGCCUGGUUAGAAGAGCUCUGCCCACCAUUUCAAGGGUCCCCCAGGAUCUUUACAGGUAAAGUGAGCGCCUGGGGCAAGGCAUCCCCACUCUUCCAGUCCACACUGCAGAGGAAGGGAUCUGUAAGGGGGCGAGGAGGAGGAAGACAAAAGCUUUUGGCAACUGCCUCGUCUCCUCGUCCUGUUGCUACAUGCAGCAGCUAGAGAGAGAACAGGGAAAUAUAAAAGCAUGAUCACCCACUCUCCAGAGGAUCAAAAAAGCAACACAACAUUGUAUCGAUGUUAUCACUGGAACUCUUCGUGAAGUGCCUCAAGGAUGUGUUUGCUAGUUUUCAGUCUACAAAGUUCCUGGUAUUUCUCCUUUUAAUUGCUCAACUUCUGUUUGAAUGCUAACACUUCUAAGGAAGAAGCCAGAAUCAACAUACUAGAACUACAACAUGGUAUUAAGAAAUGUUAGACCAAAUUCUUAUCCUAUGUGCGUGCGAGAAUUUGCCAAGAAAGUUUUGUCGUGAGAGCAUCUGUCUUACUUCUCUAUAUAUAACUCAAACAGGUGAGGAGCCGUCAUGGGAUUCAAGUAAACAGCACACAUAUGCCACGGUUGAUAUUUAUAUCCCACUGUAACUAGGCGGGCGAGUAAAUUGCCUCAAUCAUAUGCAAAAAGGGACAGAGAACAUUUCACAUUGAAGAAGGAUGGAUGAGGGUCUCAGUGUCAGAUUCGGAUCCUAUUUCCAUUUCUACCACUCACUGCAGUAAUAUUUUAUGUUGCCCAUAGCCUAGAAAAAUCCUUUAUUAGGCCAUUUCAUCUUUAUACCCACUCUGAGGGAAAAAAUGAAUACCAUAGUUUUAUAGAUGGGAAAACUAAGACUUAGGAAGUUUCUGUGAUUUGUCCUCUGAGAAGCAAAUGAGGACCACAAUUCAAAACCGCUCUUGGGUUCUCAGACCCUAAGCUGCCUGUUCACUUCAGCCCACCACAGUCUCACUCAGAUUUCCCAGAGUGAGUUCCUGGAUCGUUUGCUUUGGGUUCCUUCAUCUAUAAAAUGUGGUGUGGAAGUACAGUGAUUUAACUACCAAGCUGCCUGCCAGAUGCAAAGCAUUUGAAGCACCUUCUAAACUUCUUACUUAGGGUUGUGGGGUUUUAUAUAUAAAUAUAUAACUUGCCCUGUCUCUGCCCUCAGCUCUCUGUGUCUUUUGGAAAGUUUCAUCCUUCCUGAUUCUAACUUAUUGCUUGUUCAGCAGAUAACAACACAGCUGUGUUGAUCAUUCAACACUUACAGAGGGUACUACCUGUUACAAAAUGACAUUGGAGUUUUCUUGCUGUGAAGAGACACCAUGCCUGUAGUAGGACUUUCUUGUCAGACUUUCUUUGGGACUGCCAGCUCCCCAAUAAUGACAUGGAGACUUAUUAAGAAUCAUGAAAGCUUGGCCUUUAACUUAGGCUUGUUUCCCAACUAGCUCUUAUAACUUAACCUGUUUCUAUUAAUCUACAUUCUGCCAUGUGGCUUUUUACCUGUCCAUUCUGUCCUUCCAACUCCUCAGUGUCUCGCUGGCGAAUCUAGAUUCUAACCCUGAGUUCCUCUCUCCCCCAUCCCCGGAAGUCCAACCUAUUCUCUCCUGCCUAGCUACUGGCCAUUUAGCUCUUUAUUAAACCAAUCAAAAGGCACCUUAGGCAGAGACGCAUCUUUACAGUGUACAAAAAGAUUAUCCCACAGCACAUGGCCACAGCAACUCUUAUAAAGGAAAACAUUAGCUGGGUCUGGCUUACAGUUUCAGAGGUUUCACCCAUUAUCAACAUGGCAAAAAGCAUGGCUCCAUGCUGGGAGACAUGGUGCAGGAGAAGGAGCUGAGAGUUCUUACAUCUUGAUCUGCAGGCAAGAAGAAGUGAACUGUCCCACUCUGGGUGUAGCUUGAGCAUAUAAGACCUCAAAGCCAACCUCCACUGUAGCUGGAAGGUUUCUCCAGUCUCACCCACCACUUCCAGCCCGAGUUCCUCAGGUCCUGCCCAGCCCCACAGUCCCUCAGCCACUUACAAAAUAAUAAUUCAGAGGCUUAAUAUUAAUUGCAAACUGUAUGGUCUAUGACAGGCCUCUUGCUAGCUAGCUCUUAUAUCUUAAAUUAACCCAUUUCUAUUCAUCUGUGUUUUGUCCCAUGUUCUGUGGCUUUCUUUACCAGUCUGCUGGCAUCUUGCUUCUCCUUUGGUGGCGGCUAGUAUCUCUUCUACUUCUCCUUUCUUUUUUCUGUCUCUCUCUUGGAUUUCCUGCCUGGCUAUAACCUGACUCGCCAUAGGCCAGAGCAGCUUCUUUAUUAACCAACCAUAGUAACACAUAUUCACCAGCAUACAGAAAGAUAUCCCACAGCAAACUUCAUCUAACAAGGACGUUUGUGACAAACUUCCUCUAACAAGGCCACAUCUACUUCAACAAGGCCACACCUACUCCCACAACCUACUAAUAGUGCCCACCCCCUAUGGAAUUCAAUACUUGAGUCUUUGGGGGCCAUUCCUAUUCAAACUACCACACACAGAUUCUGAAAAGGGUUUUGCUUUUGAGUAUUUUGUUGUUGUUGUUUGUUUG